rnacentral:rRNA from 1 species
AUACGGAGGAUCCAAGCGUUAUCCGGAUUUAUGAGGUUUAAAGGGUGCGCAGGCGGAACUGUAAGUCACCGGUGAAAUCCUACAGCUUAACUGUAGAACUGCCGGUGAUACUGCGAUUCUUGAGUAUAGUUGAGGUAGGCGGAAUGUGUAGUGUAGCGGUGAAAUGCAUAGAUAUUACACAGAACACCGAUUGCGAAGGCAGCUUACUAAACUAUUACUGACGCUCAUGCACGAAAGCGUGGGGAGCGAACAGGAUUAGAAACCCCGGUAGUCC